rnacentral:rRNA from 1 species
UAGCGGAGCGUGUGGUUUAAUUCGAGGCUACGCGAAGAACCUUACCUGGGUUUGACAUAUAGGUGGUAGAGAAGUGAAAGCGGAUCGACCUUCGGGAGCCUAUACAGGUGCUGCAUGGCUGUCGUCAGCUCGUGUCGUGAGAUGUUCGGUUAAGUCCGAAAACGAGCGCAACCCCUAGAUUUAGUUACAAGUGUCUAGAUCGACUGCCGGCGAUAAGCCGGAGGAAGGUGGGGAUGACGUCAAGUCAGCAUGGCCUUUAUAUCCAGGGCUACACACACGCUACAAUGGCGCGUACAAUGGGUAGCGAAACCGCGAGGUGGAGCCAAUCCUGAAAGCGCGUCUCAGUUCGGAUUGCAGGCUGCAACUCGCCUGCAUGAAGUCGGAGUUGCUAGUAACCGCGA